UAUCUCUAUUGAUGUUACUGCGUCCCAUCUGCCACCCUUCACUCUCGAAGAAUUAUUAUUCUAUUCAAUGAAGGACAUGAGGCGCGCAUGCAGUUGACACGCCGCAAAACCAGUCUAGUCGCCAUCUCAACUCGAAUUUGACGCUUAUUGCUGUUUUUUAUGGGAUUUCAAUUUUUCGUUGAUUUUUUUUUGCACUGCGAGAACCUACUUUUGGUUGGCUAACAAUAAUUUGAUAGAUCCGAAAGCUACUUUUUCGAUUUAGACGCCGUUGCUUGAAUGUUUCGUUGAAUUCUUAAACUUGAUUGCAUUCGCGGUGUAGGAUUUUGUUUGAUUCAUACUUCUGAGGUACCUCAGAAGUAAAUUUUUUUUUUUUGCAUAAGGUGAUGUUUUUUGUUUGGUAAGAGGAGAAGAGGGGUCCGCGAAUAUCUAUAAAAUAUUCGCGCGCACUCGUAGGUACGCGUUUGUGUGGCCUUGACGAUAGAAAUAAGCAUCCAGGAACAUAAAACCAAAAAAGAAAAAAAUAUGUUCUCCUCGCUACAGUGACUCAAGUUUUCCAGAGCGUCUUAUGUUUAAACGUGCCUCAACACUUUUAUUUAACAUGUGGUUGGCGAUGGCAGCUUCGAGUUGUGUUUCAAAAAGUAAAAUUCGUCUUGAUAGUGAAAUUAUUUUGAAUCGAAUAGCAAUGCGAUACCUAACUAAAAAAUCACUACAAAGAAAUAAUUCAAUCGCGGAGUACCUACCUACCUAAAGCUAUGUUUUUGAAUACAUUUCUUGUGACAAAUAGUGAUUCAAAAAAAUAAGUGAAUGGUUUUGUGAUUUUUUCUGAAAUGUGAAAAGUGAAUAAGGAGUAACUUUUCUCUACUUAACCGGAAUUGCUUUAAAAAGUGAAAGGAGAUCUAAACCAACAAUCUGGAUCUGGGAAAAAAAGCAAGCCGUUAACGUUAGUCCACUUCUAUUAUUGACAGAUAAGCCGGUAAAUUGUAAAUCAACGAAAAAGCCGGCCGGUUGCCAGAAGCCGCAUAUCGUGAUCGAUAAGACAAUUUGUUAGCCGAUAAUGUUGCGGGUUGUGCUCGGUAUACAUAUAGUGGGCGAACAGCGAAUACAAACAGAUCUGGUUCCGCUACGCUUCUCAAAUUAUUAUUUAAGAUAACGAAUCAUAUCGAUUCUAGUUGCGCUAUAAGUGUCGUUCCACAUGUCAACUUGGCAAUAUGAAUAAGUAAAACAAGGGAGGAAUGGCUCAUUCAAAACGUUAAUUUUGACUCGUGGUUCGUUCUUCAGCUGUCAUAACCAAUUUGAACACUGGGACUAUAAUUUGGUUACCUACUUAGCGAUCUGUAACCACUUGAGUUCUGACAUUAAGUGAAAUGAAUUUCCAAUAUUGUACGAACGAGUGAAAAUAAUAAAAAAUUGUGCAAGUCACUGGACAAUGA